rnacentral:rRNA from 1 species
CACUCCUGCGGGAGGCAGCAGUAGGGAAUCUUCGGCAAUGGGGGCAACCCUGACCGAGCAACGCCGCGUGAGUGAAGAAGGUUUUCGGAUCGUAAAGCUCUGUUGUAAGUCAAGAACGAGUGUGAGAGUGGAAAGUUCACACUGUGACGGUAGCUUACCAGAAAGGGACGGCUAACUACGUGCCAGCAGCCGCGGUAAUACGUAGGUCCCGAGCGUUGUCCGGAUUUAUUGGGCGUAAAGCGAGCGCAGGCGGUUUGAUAAGUCUGAAGUUAAAGGCUGUGGCUCAACCAUAGUUCGCUUUGGAAACUGUCAAACUUGAGUGCAGAAGGGGAGAGUGGAAUUCCAUGUGUAGCGGUGAAAUGCGUAGAUAUAUGGAGGAACACCGGUGGCGAAAGCGGCUCUCUGGUCUGUAACUGACGCUGAGGCUCGAAAGCGUGGGGAGCGAACAGGAUUAGAAACCCCGGUAGUCCCAUGAU